rnacentral:tRNA from 1 species
CAAAAAGUAGCUUACACAUAAAGCACUCGACCUACAAUCGAGCGAUAUUAAUACAAUCUUUUUGA